CUACGGGAGGCAGCAGUAGGGAAUAUUGGACAAUGGGCGCAAGCCUGAUCCAGCCAUGCCGCGUGAGUGAUGAAGGCCCUAGGGUUGUAAAGCUCUUUUGGCGGGGAAGAUAAUGACGGUACCCGCAGAAUAAGCCCCGGCUAACUUCGUGCCAGCAGCCGCGGUAAUACGAAGGGGGCUAGCGUUGCUCGGAAUCACUGGGCGUAAAGCGCACGUAGGCGGAUUCUUAAGUCAGAGGUGAAAGCCUGGAGCUCAACUCCAGAACUGCCUUUGAUACUGGGAGUCUCGAGUUCGGGAGAGGUGAGUGGAACUGCGAGUGUAGAGGUGAAAUUCGUAGAUAUUCGCAAGAACACCAGUGGCGAAGGCGGCUCACUGGCUCGCACCUGACACUGAGGCGCGAAAGCGUGGGGAGCAAACGGGAUUGGAAACCCCAGUAGCC
rnacentral:rRNA from 1 species